ensembl:lncRNA
GAUAAUCGUAAUUAAUAAUCGCAAUUACAAUUUCAAGGGAAUAAGACAGUAUAAGGAAUAAGGACAGUCCUGCCAGGAUAGGUGGAGCCAGAACUGCUCGUUUUUGUUUUUAUGAUUUACUCAUAAUGGAGGAGACUGUGAUGAACCUCAGGCUUAGCCAAGACCGAGGCCAGGUAAACUACACUGGUUUGCUGCGAUCUUUGUCGGAUUACAACUUUAAAUGCAGACUAGACCCCUGUACUGCAGGAUGAAGCUGAAUGUGCCAGCGCUGGACAGGUGUUUAAUGGUUUUGCUCUGAGCAGGGAGACCCUGACUGUGCUGCUGGAUCUACUGAGAAGUGAACAGCAACAGCGGUACAUCAUACAGAAGUUCUCCAGAUGUUUGACAUGUGCCUCGCUCCACUGUCACCACAUUGUCCUCCGAGUCUCUGAGGAGGUGCUGGACAUUCACCAAGAGAUUGACCCCCUGAAGACCCCAGAACACAUGGAGGCAGCGCUGGGCUCAAACUGAUGUUGUUUUCUGAUGUUAAACCUAUUGUAAAUGGUUGUAAAAAGUACUGUCUAUUAUGUAUAGAACAAUUUGUUUUAAUGUGUAAAAGUAUUUACAGGACCAACAAAUAAACAUAUAAAAGAAUGUUUUGUGAAAAAAAUA